AGGAAACCUCUGACCAGCAGGAAUCACUAAAUGCACACUGCAAGCUUAAGGGUGGAAAGCGUCUUCUAUAUCCAUGAUAGGCUUUGAAGAGAAGAUGAAGGUGGAGCUGUGGGACUAGGUGAGCCAAUUGUCCUUAUCCCUUCCAGAUGCAGAUAAAAGCUGAAGCUGUUACUUGUUCUUGGGUGGGCACUUCUGCUCGCAUUGCUGAACAGGUGUCCCAGGAGGGCAUUUCUCAGUGCACUUUAUAGGUGGGCAAGGGUCUGAACCCUUGGUAGGUGAGCAAGGAUCAGGGCACUUAGUUGGGCACACUGGAGGUGGCUUGCACUGCUGCUUGCACUGCUGCUCUUGAGAAGACAUCUUUCUGGAAUC